rnacentral:rRNA from 1 species
ACGGGAGGCAGCAGUGAGGAAUAUUGGUCAAUGGGCGAGAGCCUGAACCAGCCAAGUAGCGUGUAGGCAGACUGCCCUAUGGGUUGUAAACUGCUUUUGUACGGGAAUAAAGUGACCUACGUGUAGGUUUUUGCAUGUACCGUAAGAAUAAGGACCGGCUAAUUCCGUGCCAGCAGCCGCGGUAAUACGGAAGGUCCGGGCGUUAUCCGGAUUUAUUGGGUUUAAAGGGAGCGUAGGCCGUGCUUUAAGCGUGUUGUGAAAUGUAGGCGCCCAACGUCUGCACUGCAGCGCGAACUGGAGCACUUGAGUACGCAGGAAGUAGGCGGAAUUCGUCGUGUAGCGGUGAAAUGCUUAGAUAUGACGAAGAACUCCGAUUGCGAAGGCAGCCUACUGUAGCGUUACUGACGCUAAAGCUCGAAAGUGUGGGUAUCGAACAGGAUUAGAUACCCUGGUA